rnacentral:ncRNA from 2 species
UUGAAAGCAUCGGGAGAAUCCCCAAGGGUUGUAAACAAGAGUGCCGCAGCCGAUCGGGGUGCCGUAGGGAAUAAGCAGCAGGGAAUGCCAUCCCUGGUCUGUAAAAAUCUCAGGCCCAAGCACCGAUGCCAGACA